UAGGGAAUCUUCCACAAUGGACGAAAGUCUGAUGGAGCAACGCCGCGUGAGUGAUGAAGGGUUUCGGCUCGUAAAGCUCUGUUGUUGGAGAAGAACGGGUGUCAGAGUAACUGUUGACAUCGUGACGGUAUCCAACCAGAAAGCCACGGCUAACUACGUGCCAGCAGCCGCGGUAAUACGUAGGUGGCAAGCGUUGUCCGGAUUUAUUGGGCGUAAAGCGAGCGCAGGCGGUUUUUUAGGUCUGAUGUGAAAGCCUUCGGCUUAACCGGAGAAGUGCAUCGGAAACCGGGAGACUUGAGUGCAGAAGAGGACAGUGGAACUCCAUGUGUAGCGGUGAAAUGCGUAGAUAUAUGGAAGAACACCAGUGGCGAAGGCGGCUGUCUGGUCUGCAACUGACGCUGAGGCUCGAAAGCAUGGGUAGCGAACAGGAUUAGAUACCCUGGUAGUCCAUGCCGUAAACGAUGAGUGCUAAGUGUUGGAGGGUUUCCGCCCUUCAGUGCUGCAGCUAACGCAUUAAGCACUCCGCCUGGGGGAGUACGACCGCAAGGUUGAAAC
rnacentral:rRNA from 1 species